CCCUUAGAGUUUGAUCCUGGCUCAGGAUGAACGCUGGCGGCGUGCCUAACACAUGCAAGUCGAACGAAGCGCUUCCGCCUGAUUUUCUUCGGAGAUGAAGGCGGCUGCGACUGAGUGGCGGACGGGUGAGUAACGCGUGGGCAACCUGCCUUGCACUGGGGGAUAACAGCCAGAAAUGGCUGCUAAUACCGCAUAAGACCGAAGCGCCGCAUGGCGCAGCGGCCAAAGCCCCGGCGGUGCAAGAUGGGCCCGCGUCUGAUUAGGUAGUUGGCGGGGUAACGGCCCACCAAGCCGACGAUCAGUAGCCGACCUGAGAGGGUGACCGGCCACAUUGGGAGUGAGACACGGCCCAGACUCCUACGGGAGGCAGCAGUGGGGAAUAUUGCACAAUGGGGGAAACCCUGAUG
rnacentral:rRNA from 1 species